rnacentral:rRNA from 1 species
GCAUAUCAAUAAGCGGAGGAAAAGAAACCAACAGGGAUUGCCUUAGUAACGGCGAGUGAAGCGGCAAAAGCUCAAAUUUGAAAUCUGGCGCCUUCGGUGUCCGAGUUGUAAUUUGAAGAAGGUAACUUUGGAGUUGGCUCUUGUCUAUGUUCCUUGGAACAGGACGUCACAGAGGGUGAGAAUCCCGUGCGAUGAGAUGCCCAAUUCUAUGUAAAGUGCUUUCGAAGAGUCGAGUUGUUUGGGAAUGCAGCUCUAAGUGGGUGGUAAAUUCCAUCUAAAGCUAAAUAUUGGCGAGAGACCGAUAGCGAACAAGUACAGUGAUGGAAAGAUGAAAAGAACUUUGAAAAGAGAGUGAAAAAGUACGUGAAAUUGUUGAAAGGGAAGGGCUUGAGAUCAGACUUGGUAUUUUGCGAUCCUUUCCUUCUUGGUUGGGUUCCUCGCAGCUUACUGGGCCAGCAUCGGUUUGGAUGGUAGGAUAAUGACUAAGGAAUGUGGCAUUGCUUCGGUGGUGUGUUAUAGCCUUGGUUGAUACUGCCUGUCUAGACCGAGGACUGCGUCUUUGACUAGGAUGUUGGCAUAAUGAUCUUAAGCCACCCGUCUUGAAACACGGACCAAGGAGUCUAACGUCUAUGCGAGUGUUUGGGUGUAAAACCCGUACGCGUAAUGAAAGUGAACGUAGGUGAGAGCUCUUAAGAGUGCAUCAUCGACCGAUCCUGAUGUCUUCGGAUGGAUUUGAGUAAGAGCAUAGCUGUUGGGACCCGAAAGAUGGUGAACUAUGCCUGAAUAGGGUGAAGCCAGAGGAAACUCUGGUGGAGGCUCGUAGCGGUUCUGACGUGCAAAUCGAUCGUCGAAUUUGGGUAUAGGGGCGAAAGACUAAUCGAACCAUCUAGUAGCUGGUUCUGCGA